rnacentral:rRNA from 1 species
GAUGAACGCUGGCGGCGUGCCUAAUACAUGCCAGUCGAGCGAACAGACGAGGAGCUUGCUCCUCUGACGUUAGCGGCGGACGGGUGAGUAACACGUGGAUAACCUACCUAUAAGACUGGGAUAACUUCGGGAAACCGGAGCUAAUACCGGAUAGUAUAUUGAACCGCAUGGUUCAAUAGUGAAAGACGGUUUUGCUGUCACUUAUAGAUGGAUCCGCGCCGCAUUAGCUAGUUGGUAAGGUAACGGCUUACCAAGGCAACGAUGCGUAGCCGACCUGAGAGGGUGAUCGGCCACACUGGAACUGAGACACGGUCCAGACUCCUACGGGAGGCAGCAGUAGGGAAUCUUCCGCAAUGGGCGAAAGCUUGACGGAGCAACGCCGCGUGAGUGAUGAAGGUCUUCGGAUCGUAAAACUCUGUUAUUAGGGAAGAACAAAUGUGUAAGUAACUAUGCACGUCUUGACGGUACCUAAUCAGAAAGCCACGGCUAACUACGUG